AGUGUGUUCUAUCUGCAAAAGGCGACCUCCCUGAUUAGAUCAUCACAAGUGAUGGGGGAAGGUGGGAAGACUCCAAGAAAAAAAGGUGGUACAGACUGGACAUAAUUGUUAAGAGGAAGAAAGAAGAGAAGGAAUAGAAUCAAACCAGAGAGCCCAGAAAUAUGGAUGGCUUUGAAAGAAAUGCCCCGUGAUUACCUGGAGUCAGAUGGAGCAUCAGCCCAGAAUUCCACAUGAGGAAGUCAUGGGUGCUGGUUUUUUUCACUCUGCACUGCUCCCCAGAAGUUCUCUACAUGAAAGGAUUCAUUUAUUCAGAAUCAACUCUCUUCCCUGUCAAAAUGCAUUAACCAGAACCCUGAAGGUUGAGUGAGGCUGACAGACUCUGACAAUUCCCUCCCAUAGAGACCCCCUUCUGAAGUUGCUGAUCUUCUUUCCCCUUUACCUGCCCCCAUGCUGGAUUCUUGGAUGUGGAUGAUGGGGGAGGUAAUAUGGGAAGAAUUUUAUAUCUUGAGGGAUACUUCUUAUUCUGCGAUUGUAUACUGUGUUUAAAGUCAUUUUAUCUAGGCAGGGGUGAACUACAAAUAGCUUCUCCGUAUCCUUCUGUUCCCUUCUCCUUGCCCUGAGAGACACAAGUAAUAAUUACUUUCUAAACAAUAGUCUCUGGAUUUAUUAAAUUUC
rnacentral:lncRNA from 1 species